rnacentral:rRNA from 1 species
ACUCCUACGGGAGGCAGCAGUAGGGAAUCUUCGGCAAUGGACGGAAGUCUGACCGAGCAACGCCGCGUGAGUGAAGAAGGUUUUCGGAUCGUAAAGCUCUGUUGUAAGAGAAGAACGAGUGUGAGAGUGGAAAGUUCACACUGUGACGGUAUCUUACCAGAAAGGGACGGCUAACUACGUGCCAGCAGCCGCGGUAAUACGUAGGUCCCGAGCGUUGUCCGGAUUUAUUGGGCGUGAAGCGAGCGCAGGCGGUUAGAUAAGUCUGAAGUUAAAGGCUGUGGCUUAACCAUAGUACGCUUUGGAAACUGUUUAACUUGAGUGCAAGAGGGGAGAGUGGAAUUCCAUGUGUAGCGGUGAAAUGCGUAGAUAUAUGGAGGAACACCGGUGGCGAAAGCGGCUCUCUGGCUUGUAACUGACGCUGAGGCUCGAAAGCGUGGGGAGCAAACAGGAUUAGAUACCCUGGUAGUCCACGCCGUAAACGAUGAGUGCUAGGUGUUAGACCCUUUCCGGGGUUUAGUGCCGCAGCUAACGCAUUAAGCACUCCGCCUGGGGAGUACGACCGCAAGGUUGAAACUCAAAGGAAUUGACGG